AAGUCGUAACAAGGUUUCCGUAGGUGAACCUGCGGAAGGAUCAUUAUUGAAAUAAAUCUGAUGGGUUGCUGCUGGUUCUCUAGGGAGCAUGUGCACACUUGUCAUCUUUAUAUCUCCACCUGUGCACCUUUUGUAGACCUGGAUAUCUUUCUGAAUGCCUGGCAUUUGGGUUUGAGGAUUGAUUUUUCUUUCCUUACAUUUCCAGGUCUAUGUUUCUUCAUAUACCCCAUGUAUGUUAUAGAAUGUCAUAAGCAGGCCUAUUGUGCCUAUAAACUUAUACAACUUUCAGCAACGGAUCUCUUGGCUCUC
rnacentral:misc_RNA from 1 species